AUUGCCCUAGUAACGGCGAGUGAAGCGGCAACAGCUCAAAUUUGAAAUCUGGCCUCCCUUGGGGGUCCGAGUUGUAAUUUGCAGAGGGUGCUUUGGCGUCGGCAGCGGUCUAAGUUCCUUGGAACAGGACAUCACAGAGGGUGAGAAUCCCGUACGUGGUCGCCUGCCUUCGCCGUGUAAAGCCCCUUCGACGAGUCGAGUUGUUUGGGAAUGCAGCUCUAAAUGGGAGGUAAAUUUCUUCUAAAGCUAAAUACCGGCCAGAGACCGAUAGCGCACAAGUAGAGUGAUCGAAAGAUGAAAAGCACUUUGGAAAGAGAGUCAAACAGCACGUGAAAUUGUUGAAAGGGAAGCGCUUGCAGCCAGACUUGCUCGUAGUUGCUCAUCCGGGUCCGCCCGGAGCACUCUUCUGCGAGCAGGCCAGCAUCAGUUUGGGCGACCGGAUAAAGGCCUCUGUCAUGUACCUUCCCUCGGGAAGGCCUUAUAGGGGAGGCGUAAUGCGGCCAGCCCGGACUGAGGUCCGCGCAUCUGCUAGGAUGCUGGCGUAAUGGCUGUAAGCGGCCCGUCUUGAAACACGGACCAAGGAGUCUAACAUCUAUGCGAGUGUUUGGGUGUCAAGCCCGGGCGCGUAAUGAAAGUGAACGGAGGUGGGAACCCUCUCCGGGGGGUGCACCAUCGACCGAUCCUGAUGUCUUCGGAUGGAUUUGAGUAAGAGCAUAGCUGUUGGGACCCGAAAGAUGGUGAACUAUGCUUGAAUAGGGUGAAGCCAGAGGAAACUCUGGUGGAGGCUCGCAGCGGUUCUGACGUGCAAAUCGAUCGUCAAAUUUGGGCAUAGGGGCGAAAGA
rnacentral:rRNA from 1 species